CUCCUUUCAGCCAGGUUAUGUCAGCUUUGGGUACUGGAACAGGGAAGAAAGAAGAGACCAGACUAGGGUUUGAUACAUACUUGCUGAGCAUGAAUUACACAGACCGUUUCAGGACAUUCAGCUCAUCUUUUGGGUCACGCUGCACUGCCCUUUAUUUUUGGAAAUCACCUGUUGUAUGGCACUAACACAGGGCCGUGUGUGCUGCUUGCCUGGGGUCAGCUGCCCACUGUCCUUGGCCUCCAAACCACCUCCCUGAUCCAACCACCUGGCAGUGGGCAAGGGCAGCUAAUUCCCAGACCUCCACCUCACACUCCCAAGGCCGCAGUGAGAGCUGCCAGGGUCUGGGUCCCUCCCAAGAUGAGGGAACCUGCAGAAGGAACUGAAGAAUAGCAUGCACAAGAUUGUGGAGGCCAAACGCAGUCUGAGAAUAGAACCUGGGAAGGGUGCCACCCUGCUCUGCCUUCUGCCCGACUUUAGACUAACCCCUGUCUACUUUGAGAGCACUGCACAACCCCGUAUUCCCCAGUUUGAGAAACACAGUUUGAGACUAUUAAUAUAGAUGUGGAACAGCACCGGGUAACAAACAAAAUCAGUGAGAUUCUGGUAGAACUCCUCUGAAUCCACACAAGAAAACCUGUUUUGCUUUCUAUCAUUUUUUAGCUGCGUUAACAUCUUAGACUGAAUAGUAUAAUUUAUGUUACUUUUAAAUUCUGAAGCAAUAUAAGACCUUUGAAUAUGAGCAGGCUUUUAGAAGGUGGGGUUACCUUUUGGGGCACCGUUUGGGGAGUUUGUUGUUUAUCACAUCCUUUUAAAAAAUAAUUAAUCUUGUUUUUCUUCUUGCUAUUUAGCUUAUAAUGUAGUUAUUAUAAAUAAUAAAAUUGUCAAAGCAA